CCUACGGGUGGCUGCAGUGAGGAAUAUUGGUCAAUGGGCGGGAGCCUGAACCAGCCAAGUCGCGUGAGGGAAGACGGUCCUAUGGAUUGUAAACCUCUUUAGGCGGGGAGCAAUGCCGGGCACGCGUGCCCGGACUGAGAGUACCUGAAGAAAAAGCAUCGGCUAACUCCGUGCCAGCAGCCGCGGUAAUACGGAGGAUGCGAGCGUUAUCCGGAUUUAUUGGGUUUAAAGGGUGCGUAGGCGGAAUGCCAAGUCAGCGGUAAAAUCGCGGGGCUCAACCUCGCUCCGCCGUUGAAACUGGCGUUCUUGAGUGGGCGAGAAGUAUGCGGAAUGCGUGGUGUAGCGGUGAAAUGCAUAGAUAUCACGCAGAACUCCGAUUGCGAAGGCAGCAUACCGGCGCCCAACUGACGCUGAAGCACGAAAGCGUGGGUAUCGAACAGGAUUAGAUACCCUAGUAGUC
rnacentral:rRNA from 1 species